rnacentral:rRNA from 1 species
CACGUAGGCGGCUUGGUAAGUCAGGGGUGAAAUCCCACAGCCCAACUGUGGAACUGCCUUUGAUACUGCCAGGCUUGAGUACCGGAGAGGGUGGCGGAAUUCCAGGUGUAGGAGUGAAAUCCGUAGAUAUCUGGAGGAACACCGAUGGCGAAGGCAAUCCCCCGGGGCCUGUACUGACGCUCAUGCACGAAAGCGUGGGGAGCAAACAG